rnacentral:rRNA from 1 species
GACGAACGCUGGCGGCGUGCCUAAUACAUGCAAGUCGAACGAGAGCGACCGGUGCUUGCACUGGUCAAUCUAGUGGCGAACGGGUGAGUAACACGUGGGUAACCUGCCCAUCAGAGGGGGAUAACAUCCGGAAACGGAUGCUAAAACCGCAUAGGUCUUCGAGCCGCAUGGCUUGAAGAGGAAAAGAGGCGCAAGCUUCUGCUGAUGGAUGGACCCGCGGUGCAUUAGCUAGUUGGUGAGGUAACGGCUCACCAAGGCCGUGAUGCAUAGCCGACCUGAGAGGGUGAUCGGCCACAUUGGGACUGAGACACGGCCCAAACUCCUACGGGAGGCAGCAGUAGGGAAUCUUCCGCAAUGGACGCAAGUCUGACGGAGCAACGCCGCGUGAGUGAAGAAGGUUUUCGGAUCGUAAAACUCUGUUGUUAGAGAAGAACAAGUGCUAGAGUAACUGUUCGCGCCUUGACGGUAUCUAACCAGAAAGCCACGGCUAACUACGUG